rnacentral:tRNA from 1 species
GAGACGCUUCACUGAACUGCUAAAUCAAUCCACCAGACCUAAACGUCCGGGCUUCUC